rnacentral:lncRNA from 1 species
UAUGUUUUGCUUUAUUUCCAUGUUAUAGGUUUGAAUCAUGUGUUGUACUUUCAUUUUUAUUGUUAACUGAUUACAAAUGCAUGGGUCCUUGCAUUGUAAAAUACUUAACUGGAUUUUUCCAUUUUUUAUGAUAUAUCUAAAGUUCAUUGACUAAAAUUCUUUUUCAUUACUUCAAAUUUAACUAUUGUAUUCUACACCAAUGAUAUUAGAUUUUGAUGUAUAGAUAUUGAAAAAUGAAUGGGUCUUUGCGUUUUAAUGAAAUAUAUGUUUUUUCUUUCAUGAUUUAUGGUCUAUCUGAAGUCCUUUGCCUAAAAUCUUUUUCAUUACUUCAAAUUCAAUUAUUGGACCAUGCACCAAUCAUAUUAGGUGUUUGAUAUAUAGAUAGUAAUGUCACUCACGUCUAUAGGUUAAAUGUGGUGUUUAUUGUGGUCUACUGAGUGUGGGCAUGGUCAGACCUCAUGGUUCCUAUCUUUAGGGAAAUUGGCGUGGCUAGAUUGAUGCAGGUGUUGUAGACUAAAACAUGUACUAUGAUGUGCUAGUUGUGGGCUUAUGGUGUCUUCAUUAGAUGGGGAUCAAUAUCAGCUGCACUUUUUGCUUUAUGAAUGUUGCCUCUUAGAUUGAUUGCAGUGGUACCAAAAAAGAUUCACAAGAUAAUUUGUUGGAAAACAUGUUGUGUAUAAUGGGAAUCAAACCAACAUUAUAGGGAAAUAUGGGUAGAUCAAUAGUGAAUAAUAAAAAGAUGCAUUUAAUAAAAAAAUAGAAUCAUUAGAAAACAUCAAAUAAUCAGCAAGGAUAUCUAAUUCUAAAAAACAAUCGGCAAGGAUUUCUAGUAACUUAGGGCUUGUUUGAAAGGUGGAAGGCCCCUUUGCCACAAAAAUGUAGGAAAACCACACUCCCUUAUUUUUGGCUUCCACCGUUUAAACACGCCUUUAAAGAAUUUAGAACUAAGUCUACCAAACCUAGUGUAUGUAUGUUCUUAUUUCUCUUAUGUUGAGUUUAGAACUACACAUGGUGAUUAUUUUUUAUGUUGAAUUAUCAGGUUCAUUUUUAAUCAUUUAUAUCUUAAAAUAAUUGAACCAUAGCAAAUUCUAGGGAAGACCCUGCAUGGUAACAUGGGAUCAUAUUUGAUCCCAACUAAAAAGAUAAAAUUAUUUGUAAUUACUGCCAAAAAGUGAUUAGUAUUGGGGUAUUUAGGUUCAAACAAUACUUGGCAUGAGUUAAGGGAGAUGUUUCUGCGUACAAUAGUGUCCCUAGCAAUGUAAGAAAAUAGAUUACGACCAUUCUCAAGGCUACCGAGGGUAAAAAAGUCACAAAGUAGAGGAUGAAUGAGGAGAUAGCUUGCUUAUACGCCAUUGAGCGGAAAGAAUCCCAAAGAGCAAUAUAAUCAUGACUUGGAUAUGACCACAAAAAUAGGCUUGCACGAAACGUACCAGAGGGAAAGCGAGUUCAUAAUGCCUGGGGGUUAUGGCAUGGGCAUGCAUGACGGGCCCAACCCAAGCAUGGAUGGUAGGGCUAGCUCGAGCAUGCAUAGCGGGGCCAGCUCGAGCAUGUAUGGCAGGCCCAGCUCGAAUAUGUAUGGAGGAGUUGGUGGUAAUAUGUGUCCAGAGGCACCAAACGUUGAAGAAAUUAUUCCUGGCUUAUCUAGAAGCACCAGUAUUGCAGGUUAUGAUCGUAUAGACCCAUUUCUCUCAAAGCCCAAGUCACAACAAAUGACCCUCACAUGCAUACCGAAAGGUACAAGGAACAUGUUGGGCAGUUAUGUUGGUAAAUAGUUAUAUGAUAAAGGGAUUCCCUUUGAUGCAGCCAAUAUUUCAUAUUUCCCGCCUAUGGUCAACGCAAUCCAUAGAGCCGGGCUAGGGGUAAAGCCCCCGAUUGCACAUGAGCUCAGUGGGCCAAUCUUGGAUGAAGAGGUGGAGGAAGUUAGAAGGCGGAUUGAAGAAUAUAAACAGGGUUGGCCAAGAACAGAAAUUACUCGCAUGAGUGAUGAUUGGUUGAAUAAAGUUAACAAAAAAGAUUAUCUUAACUUCUUGGCAUAUUCUCCAAAGGUACAACCUUUUUGUCUAGCAAAGAUGUCACAGGGAAAAAGAAGGUUGCAAACUUCUUAGUACGACUAUAUGACUCGAUAGUGGAGGAUGUGGGAGAUAAGCAUGUGGACUAGUUUAUUACGGACAAUGGGGGUGCUUGUGUUUUUGCGGGCAGCAAGUUGAUGGAUAAGAUGAAGCAUUGCGGGCAGCAAGUUGAUGGAUAAGAUGAAGCAUCUAGUAUGGACCCCGUGUGCUGCACACAUCAUCGAUCUUAUAUUAGAAGAGAUCGAUGAGAUCAAAAUUGUGAAGGAGACUCUAGAAGCAGCAAUGUUCGUGUUAAGAUUUAUAUAUAACCACUCUAAAAUCUUAUUUUUGUUCAGAG